AGUGGAAGCGGUUUCUGCACAGCCUGGGCAGGGUCUGGUGACCUUUGAGGAGGUGGCCGUGCAUUUCUCAGAGGAGGAGUGGGCUCUGCUGGAUCCAGGCCAAAGGACUCUGCACAAUGAAGUCAUGGAAGAGAAUCGUGGGAUCCUGGCCUCUCUGGGUGAUCACAGGGGGAUCAAGAAAAAUGGCCCACACCAGAGAAGGAAAACUGAAGAGAAGAGGGAAAACGAAUCCAUUUCUUUUGAAGGAUCAGACAUCUGUGAAACUCCAAUACUAGAAGCACCAAGUAAAAAGAACAUUUGUAAAAGGAAGAAACAGAGUAAAACUCAGAAGAUUAAUUCUAACAAAUAUCAAAGGUUUCAAUGCUUAGUGUGUGAAAAGCUAUUCACUUUCUACUCACAACUUAACUUCCA